rnacentral:misc_RNA from 1 species
AGGAAAUGGAUCACAAUACUUGAGAGCCAGAAUUAAAAGGUACAAUAGGUAGUAGAUAAGUGGCAUCAGACCAACAACUUAGCCGAUUACCGGUAGAAUCAAGCAGCUGAAGUAGCUGCCUCAGGAGCCGGAGCUGGAGCAGGAGCAGCAACAGCAGCAGGAUCAGCUUCCUUUACUUCUGGCUCUGACUCCCAGAAAGCAGUUUUCUUCCCUGUCUUCGAAACGGUUUUUAGAACUGCCUCAGAUGUUACAUUUCCUAUAACUGUUACUUUCUGGUCCUUCAGGUUAAUAUCAAAUGAUUCGACACCUUCCAUUUUGGUGAGAACCCUCUUAACAGCCCCUACACAACCUUCACAGGACAUGCCAACUUUGAGGACAACAGUCUCGGCCAUGGCGACGAAAUCUACUAACCCAAUCCGGAGCAAUGAGGGCAGAGAAAGGU